rnacentral:lncRNA from 1 species
AUGGUGAGAUCUACUGUGGCAGCGAUGUCGAAAGUGAGAUCCUCAUGUAGAGAAAGAAAGAAAGAUGGCUUUUUAUAUAAAUAAAUUUUAAGGAUAAAAUAGUCAUUUUACAUACCUACUGUUAAAAAAUUAACGAUAAAUUAAACGGUAAGCACGUAUAUGAAUGAAUUAAAACUUUUAAAGCGAUAAAUUUGCAAACUAGAAAAUUUUUUAAAAAAUAAAUCUGAUCAUUUAAAUUUUAUAAAAAUUUAUUUACUAUUUGAUAUUUUUGUAGGGACUUGUGUGAAAUUAAU